rnacentral:rRNA from 1 species
GAUGAACGCUGGCGGCGUGCCUAAUACAUGCAAGUCGAGCGAACGGACGAGAAGCUUGCUCCUCUGAUGUUAGCGGCGGACGGGUGAGUAACACGUGGAUAACCUACCUAUAAGACUGGGAUAACUUCGGGAAACCGGAGCUAAUACCGGAUAAUAUUUUGAACCGCAUGGUUCAAAAGUGAAAGACGGUCUUGCUGUCACUUAUAGAUGGAUCCGCGCUGCAUUAGCUAGUUGGUAAGGUAACGGCUUACCAAGGCAACGAUGGAUAGCCGACCUGAGAGGGUCGUCGGCCACCCUGGAAGAGAGGCACGGCCCAGACUCCUGCGGGAGGCCGCAGUAGGGAAUCUUACGCGAUGGAGGAAAGCCUGACAGUGCAACGCCGCGUGAGUGAUGAAGGUCUUAGGAUCGUAAAGCGAUGUUACUAGGGGAGAAGAUAUGUGUAAUUAACUGUGCACAUAUUGACGGUACCUGAUCAGUAAGCCACGGCUAACUACGUG